rnacentral:rRNA from 1 species
AUGCAAAAAAAGGAAAGCUUUAUAAAAGUGUGUUCUUCUAGUCUACAUGAAAAUAAUGAUGAGGAUCUCAAAGUUAUUGAUGCGUCUUGGAUUAGAUCUAUGUUUUCCAAGAUGAAUUUUGAUGAUUAUGGGAGUGAUGAUGAAUCAACUUUUCCUAGAAGGCGUCCCAAAAAUUCGGAAUCUUUAGAUCAUGAUGUUAAAUUUGGUAAAAGAGAGAUUGGAGAAUCUUCAACUUCUAAUAUUGAACCUACUAUCUCGGAUUUCAAAGAAUUUGAUUAUGAUAAUUGCUCUUUAAAAGGUUGUAUUUCCUUGUUGCAAACCGUUGUUAAUUCUCCUCAUGCUUAUAGUCAAAAUAAAGCUUUUACCAAACAUAUCGUUGAUGCCUUGAUGCAAUCUUAUGAUGAAAAACUGAACUUGGAAGUUUCUAUACCUAGAAAACUUAAUGAUGAGUGGGAACCUGCUAUAAAGAUUAGAAUUAAAGAUUUUGAGUGUUUUGCUUUGUGUGAUUUGGGUGCUAGUGUUUCCACGAUUCCAAAAACUUUAUGUGAUAUUCUAGGUUUCCAUGAUCUUGAUGAUUGCUCGUUAAAUUUGCACCUUGCGGAUUCCACCAUUAAAAAGCCUAUGGGAAGGAUCAAUGAUGUUCUUAUUGUUGCUAAUAGAAAUUUGGUGCCCGUAGAUUUUAUCGUUCUUGAUAUAGAUUGCAAUCUUUCUUGCCCUAUUAUUCUUGGUAGACCUUUUCUUAGAAUGAUUGGUGCGAUUAUUGAUAUGAAGGAAGGGAAUAUUAGAUUCCAAUCUUCUUUAAAGAAAGGCAUGGAGCACUUUCCAAGAAAGAAAGUAAAAUUACCUUAUGAAUCUAUCAUGCGUGCUACUUAUGAAUCAAGUGCCAAAGAUGGCACUAGUUAG